rnacentral:tRNA from 1 species
AAGGUUUUAAGUUAAUAUAAACUAUUAUCCUUCAAAGUUAAAAAUAUAAUUUUAUUAUAAGCCUUA